rnacentral:tRNA from 1 species
GGGGUUGUGGCUCAAUGGUAGAGCGCUUGCUUCGCAUGCAUGAGGCACUGGGUUCAAUCCUCUGCACCA